AGAUGAAAAAGGUAAACCCGUUGAAAGACGGGGACACAAAGCUAUGGGUCUAAGGCUAUACGCUAUGACUGCCAGGUUGCCACU
rnacentral:ncRNA from 1 species